rnacentral:tRNA from 1 species
GGUUAUAGCUCAGUGGUAGAGCACUUGCCUAGCAUGUGUGAGCCACUGGGUUUGAUUCUCAGCACCA